rnacentral:rRNA from 1 species
UCAGGAUGAACGCUGGCGGCGUGCCUAAUACAUGCAAGUCGAGCGAACCACUUCGGUGGUGAGCGGCGAACGGGUGAGUAACACGUAGGUGAUCUGCCCAUCAGACGGGGACAACGAUUGGAAACGAUCGCUAAUACCGGAUAGGACGAAAGUUUAAAGGUGCUUCUGGCACCGCUGAUGGAUGAGCCUGCGGCGCAUUAGCUAGUUGGUAGGGUAAAGGCCUACCAAGGCGACGAUGCGUAGCCGACCUGAGAGGGUGAACGGCCACACUGGGACUGAGACACGGCCCAGACUCCUACGGGAGGCAGCAGUAGGGAAUCUUCGGCAAUGGGCGAAAGCCUGACCGAGCAACGCCGCGUGAAUGAUGAAGGCCUUCGGGUUGUAAAAUUCUGUUAUAAGGGAAGAACGACUUUAGUAGGAAAUGGCUAGAGUGUGACGGUACCUUAUGAGAAAGCCACGGCUAACUACGUGCCAGCAGCCGCGGUAAUACGUAGGUGGCGAGCGUUAUCCGGAAUUAUUGGGCGUAAAGAGCGCGCAGGUGGUUGAUUAAGUCUGAUGUGAAAGCCCACGGCUUAACCGUGGAGGGUCAUUGGAAACUGGUCGACUUGAGUGCAGAAGAGGGAAGUGGAAUUCCAUGUGUAGCGGUGAAAUGCGUAGAGAUAUGGAGGAACACCAGUGGCGAA